rnacentral:rRNA from 1 species
UGGGGAAUUUUGGACAAUGGGCGAAAGCCUGAUCCAGCAAUGCCGCGUGUGUGAAGAAGGCCUUCGGGUUGUAAAGCACUUUUGUCCGGAAAGAAAUCCUUGGCUCUAAUACAGCCGGGGGAUGACGGUACCGGAAGAAUAAGCACCGGCUAACUACGUGCCAGCAGCCGCGGUAAUACGUAGGGUGCAAGCGUUAAUCGGAAUUACUGGGCGUAAAGCGUGCGCAGGCGGUUUGCUAAGACCGAUGUGAAAUCCCCGGGCUCAACCCGGGAACUGCAUUGGUGACUGGCAGGCUAGAGUAUGGCAGAGGGGGGUAGAAUUCCACGUGUAGCAGUGAAAUGCGUAGAGAUGUGGAGGAACACCGAUGGCGAAGGCAGCCCCCUGGGCCAAUACUGACGCUCAUGCACGAAAGCGUGGGGAGCAAACAGGAUUAGAUACCCUGGUAGUCCACGCCCUAAACGAUGUCAACUGGUUGUCGGGCCUUCAUUGGCUUGGUAACGUAGCUAACGCGUGAAGUUGACCGCCUGGGGGAGUACGGUCGCAAGAUUAAAACUUAAAGGAAUUGACGGGGUCAUAGCUGUUUCCU